rnacentral:rRNA from 1 species
AUACGGAGGGUGCAAGCGUUGUUCGGAAUUACUGGGCGUAAAGCGCGUGCAGGCGGUAAGGUAAGUCAGAUGUGAAAGCCCCGGGCUCAACCCGGGAAGUGCAUUUGAUACUGCCUUUCUUGAGUAUGGGAGAGGAGAGUGGAAUUCCCAGUGUAGAGGUGAAAUUCGUAGAUAUUGGGAGGAACACCCGUGGCGAAGGCGACUCUCUGGACCAAUACUGACGCUGAGACGCGAAAGCGUGGGGAGCGAACAGGAUUAGAUACCCCGGUAGUCC